GGGGAAUUAGCUCAGUUGGUAGAUCGCUCGCUUUGCAUGCGGAGGUAUUGGGAUCGAUACCCGGAUUCUCCA
rnacentral:tRNA from 1 species